rnacentral:siRNA from 1 species
GUGGCAAGAAGGUUGGAAUUUAUU